ACUGAAGGCCUUGCACCUCUGAAU
rnacentral:miRNA from 1 species